rnacentral:rRNA from 1 species
UACAGAGGGUGCGAGCGUUUGUCCGGAAUCACUGGGCGUAAAGGGCGCGUAGGCGGUUCCCUAAGUGUGUGGUGAAAGCUCGGGGCUCAACCCCGAGUCGGCCGUGCAAACUGGGGGACUCGAGCAUGUCAGAGGCAGGCGGAAUUCCGGGUGUAGCGGUGGAAUGCGCAGAUAUCAGGAGGAACACCGGUGGCGAAGGCGGGUCUCUGGGCAGUAACUGACGCUGGAGGAGCGAAAGCGUGGGGAGCGAACAGG